rnacentral:rRNA from 1 species
UGCAGUCGAGCGGUAGAGAGAAGCUUGCUUCUCUUGAGAGCGGCGGACGGGUGAGUAAUGCCUAGGAAUCUGCCUGGUAGUGGGGGAUAACGUUCGGAAACGGACGCUAAUACCGCAUACGUCCUACGGGAGAAAGCAGGGGACCUUCGGGCCUUGCGCUAUCAGAUGAGCCUAGGUCGGAUUAGCUAGUUGGUGGGGUAAUGGCUCACCAAGGCGACGAUCCGUAACUGGUCUGAGAGGAUGAUCAGUCACACUGGAACUGAGACACGGUCCAGACUCCUACGGGAGGCAGCAGUGGGGAAUAUUGGACAAUGGGCGAAAGCCUGAUCCAGCCAUGCCGCGUGUGUGAAGAAGGUCUUCGGAUUGUAAAGCACUUUAAGUUGGGAGGAAGGGUUGUAGAUUAAUACUCUGCAAUUUUGACGUUACCGACAGAAUAAGCACCGGCUAACUCUGUGCCAGCAGCCGCGGUAAUACAGAGGGUGCAAGCGUUAAUCGGAAUUACUGGGCGUAAAGCGCGCGUAGGUGGUUUGUUAAGUUGGAUGUGAAAUCCCCGGGCUCAACCUGGGAACUGCAUUCAAAACUGACUGACUAGAGUAUGGUAGAGGGUGGUGGAAUUUCCUGUGUAGCGGUGAAAUGCGUAGAUAUAGGAAGGAACACCAGUGGCGAAGGCGACCACCUGGACUAAUACUGACACUGA